rnacentral:rRNA from 1 species
UACGAAGGGGGCUAGCGUUGCUCGGAAUCACUGGGCGUAAAGGGUGCGUAGGUGGCGUGGUAAGUCGGGUGUGAAAUUUCGGAGCUUAACUCCGAAACUGCAUUCGAUACUGCCGUGCUUGAGGACUGGAGAGGAGACUGGAAUUUACGGUGUAGCAGUGAAAUGCGUAGAGAUCGUAAGGAAGACCAGUGGCGAAGGCGGGUCUCUGGACAGUUCCUGACGCUGAGGCACGAGGGCCAGGGGAGCAAACGGG